CCUUGCCCUGGCCACAUCUCUAUUUCCAGUUUGGCCCAGACUUGGGUAUGGAAAUAAUGGAGGCUUCCCAGGGCUCUGGGGCCAAAAACUCAAGUCACCUAGGAGAUAAGAAGGUGCUGGAUUAUCUAAGUCUCCUCCUCGAAAAGGGGAUUCACACACAGAUAAGCUGUCUUCACUGGGCCUAAGCAUCAGGUGAGAGAGGGGUUUGCCCCGGGGGAGAUGAACAGACAGGCUUCUAGUGGGACAGUCAUGCUGUUGAACAAAUCCCCCAGUGAGGGUGUAGGGGGGCAGGCCCUCCUGAGGUUGGAGGGUAACCAACCUCUAGCCGCCAGGUGUGAGAGGGAGGCCCCUAAGCAUCAUUAGGCUGGAGCCCCCCAGGCAGCCACCUCUUAUCUGUCCCCAGAUCCUCAGCCCCUGCUGGUGCCCAACAGAGCUGGUGGUGAAGGGAGAGCGUAAGGAGUUUGCGCUGCCCCCAGCCCCAGGCAAGGAGUUCAACUUUACACAUGGAGUGGGCAUGACUUACGAGGCCAAGCAUGUCCGGGAGUGCCUACGAAAGGGUAAGGAUGUGGAGGAGGGGUGAGAGGGUGGCAGGGCGGAGAGAGGCAAGCCUGGUAGGGGAGUGGGCCCCUCCUCACCCCUUGGCCACUCUCCAUAGCUGUCUGGAACUACAACUCCCAGGAUCCCCUGGGGGCAUCCAUCUGCACAACCCAUGUAUUACUUUUGUGCCUCAUGGGAUUCUGGGGAUGGUAGUUCUUUCGAUCUUUGAGGCGUGCAUAGGAGGGGUCCCUAACUGUACUCUUCCCCCAGGCCUGAAGGAGAGUCCUGUGAUUCCCCUGGCGGAAAGUGAACUCCUGGCUGACAUCCUUGAGGAAGCGAGGAAGGCCAUUGGGGUCACCUUCCCCCAAGACAAAUGCUGAUGCAUGCCCCGAAUAAAUAAAGGCAUGGUUCCCACAGAAAUCUUAGCAAUGGUGGUUUGGUGGGAGCUGGAGCAAGCCCACCCAUCAAAGGGGUCACUAGUGAGUAAACUGGGUAGAAGGAUGUGGGGAAGGGGAGGAAGGCAGAGUCAGGACCACAUUUCUCACAAGUUUUUGGAGCAGACACCUGUGGGCAGAUCCUUGGUUUGCCUAGCAUAGACUCUGUGACCUUGGGCAAGGAAGAGUGGGUGGGUAGGAGGUGUCCCCAACUGCACUCUGCCGCAGCUCCUCCCUGCCCCCGUCUUCUCAUCGGUAAAGAAGAGACAUACUACCAACCACACUGGGGAGGAAUAAAUGCGAUAGUAUAUGAACAGCCUCCAGCAUCCAGUAGGUUCUCAAAAAAUGUUAACUGAUGGGGGCGCCUGAGUGGCUCAAGCAGUUGAGCGUCUGACUUCCGCUCGGGUCGUGAUCUCACGGUUUGUGAGUUCGAGCCCCGCGUCGGGCUCUGUGCCGACAGCUC
rnacentral:lncRNA from 1 species